AGAGAGAGGGUGACUAGUGACAGAGUGAGGAAGGGGGUGACACAGUGACAGAGUGAGUGACUAGUGACAGAGUGAAGGAGGUGGUGACUGUCACUAGUCACCCCCUUCCCUCCCUCACUCUGUCACUAGUCACCCCUUCCUCACUUUGUCACUAGUCACCCCUUCCCUCCCUAACUCUGUCACUAGUCACCACUUCCCUCCCUCACUCUGUCACUAGUCACCCCCUCCCUCAU